rnacentral:lncRNA from 12 species
AGCCACCCGAGGUACCCCUGGAACUUCAACCUUUUUUGACUAUAUACUUAAAAUUCUGCUAAAUGCAUCAUUGAUUCAAAAAGUUGGUAAUUUUUCAUGGGAUUAUUUUUUUAAAAGGCCAAGUAAAAAAUUCUACUCAAGUAAAAAUUGUGUAUCCUUGCUAUACAGCUCAUUAAAUAUCAAACAAGGCUCAGACUCACGGUAUAGGCACAUGUAUCUCUACACGUCAAAGUAUCAUAUUUUACUAGAGAUAUUUUAGCACUUACUGAGGGUUGGGGUGUUUGUUGCUGACUUGUAUAUCAUGAUGAGAAGUGCACACCAUUGUAAUAUAUUGUUGUGGUUAAACUUUGAAACUAAAAUCUCUUUGACUCCUUGACUAAGUUUUUAGAUUAGUUCAUUUGUAGGGUACACUAUGAUGGAAAGAGAGCUGUGAAAAAAACAUACUUUCCUUUUUCAUCUACUUCUCUGUGUGAACUAGGGUUUUCUAGUUACUUUGAAAUACGCACACACACACACAUUUUUUUUCAAUGGCCAAACAUAACCAAAUACAACUGAAAUAAUUUGGAUGCAGAAGUCGAUACGAAGCAAAGCGUUAACAUUCAAUUUCAGAUAUUUAUGUUCAUUAGACUUAUCUGCUGUUCUCAUUGAUGGAUGAGCAAAUAUUAAAAAUCUAAAUGUUUAAAAUAAAUUUGUGUUAGUAAAGUAUCAUAUUUAUCUAUUUUAUGUAAUUGAGCUCCAAGUAAGCAUUCAGUUAAAAACACCUUUUUUUUUUUUUAAAGUGAGAACCAUUAAGACUACAAGAAGACUGUUUUUCUCUUGAUCCUAUUAAGGCAUUCACAAUAUGUCCUCCCGAAGCAUUAGAGAGAAGAACCACCAGAUGUCCACAGGCAUGUUUUCUGUUCCAGCCAGGACCAGCUCUAUUCCGAAUGGAGACUUGUCCUGUUGGCAUAUGUGUUCUCAGGGGAACAUACUAAGGGUGUGAAAUCCAUCAUGUCAUGCGAGGUCCCCCAGGGCGCAGGGGAGACAAGACUCUCGUCUUCCUCUGGAAACACAGCCAAUGAGUUGAGUUCUUCGCCUCCCCUGGCCGCCCCCACCUACCCUCGGUUCUUCAUCUCAUGACUUUCCAGUUGAUUUCUCGUCAGUGGGCUUCCUCUUUUGAGUUGGCGGCCACCUCUGUGACUCUCGUCUGCUCUGCAUGAAGAAACCACAACCGAAUCGUUAGCAGCCCAUUCUCUUCCCUGGGGUCAACCUGGCCCUUCCUAUAGACCAGCGACGUUCACCCUACUUACUUUCUCAGGGUGAGUCAAUACCCGAACCCUGGCCAUUUUCUUUACCUCCCCCCUUGAAAUGCCUCCUUUUUUUCCUUAGAAUGGCCCAGGCUUCACCAGACCCAUGCUUGUCUUCCCUCAAGCAACCUUCUCCUCUGCCCCCAGAGUGGGGGGUGGUAGGUAGGCCCUGUAGUAGAAGUGGGAAAACACAAAGCUGUUGACAAUUUGUUCUUGCCCAUCUAUUGUAUUAGAAGGUGGGGCCAGGAGUAAAGAAAAAUAGCCUAGAAAAGCGAAUCCUGUAUAAAAAGAAAGAAACUGGGACACCUGGGUGGCUCAGCGGUUGAGCGUCUGCCCUUGGCUCAGGGCGUGACCCCAGGGUCCUGGGAUCGAGUCCCACAUCGGGUCCCUGCAGUAAGCCUGCUUCUCCCUCUGUCUGUGUUGUGUCUCUGCCUCUCUGUGUCUCUCAGGAAUAAAUAAAAAAAAAAAAAAAAGAAAGAAAAGAAA